rnacentral:rRNA from 1 species
CACGUAGGGCGCAAGCGUUGUCCGGAAUUAUUGGGCGUAAAGAGCUCGUAGGUGGUUUGCUGCGUCCGCUGUGAAAACCCAAGGCUUAACCUUGGGCUUGCAGUGGAUACGGGCAGACUAGAGGUAGGUAGGGGAGAAUGGAAUUCCCGGUGUAGCGGUGAAAUGCGCAGAUAUCGGGAGGAACACCGGUGGCGAAGGCGGCGACCUGGUCCGACACUGACGCUGAGGCGCGAAAGCGUGGGGAGCAAACAGG